GGGAGGCAGCAGUGGGGAAUAUUGGACAAUGGGCGCAAGCCUGAUCCAGCCAUGCCGCGUGAGUGAUGAAGGCCUUAGGGUUGUAAAGCUCUUUCACCCACGACGAUAAUGACGGUAGUGGGAGAAGAAGCCCCGGCUAACUUCGUGCCAGCAGCCGCGGUAAUACGAAGGGGGCUAGCGUUGUUCGGAUUUACUGGGCGUAAAGCGUACGUAGGCGGACCGUUAAGUCGGAGGUGAAAUCCUGGGGCUCAACCCCAGAACUGCCUUCGAUACUGGCGGUCUCGAGUCCGGGAGAGGUGAGUGGAACUGCCAGUGUAGAGGUGAAAUUCGUAGAUAUUGGCAAGAACACCAGUGGCGAAGGCGGCUCACUGGCCCGGUACUGACGCUGAGGUACGAAAGCGUGGGGAGCAAACAGGAUUAGAUACCCUGGUAGUCCACGCUGUAAACGAUGGAAGCCAGCCGUCGGGCAGCAUGCUGU
rnacentral:rRNA from 1 species